AUGCAAGUCGAACGCUUUGUGGUUCAACUGAUUUGAAGAAGCUUGCUCAGAUAUGACGAUGGACAUUGCAAAGAGUGGCGAACGGGUGAGUAACACGUGGGAAACCUACCUCUUAGCAGGGGAUAACAUUUGGAAACAGAUGCUAAUACCGUAUAACAAUGACAACCGCAUGGUUGUUAUUUAAAAGAUGGUUCUGCUAUCACUAAGAGAUGGUCCCGCGGUGCAUUAGCUAGUUGGUAAGGUAAUGGCUUACCAAGGCGAUGAUGCAUAGCCGAGUUGAGAGACUGAUCGGCCACAAUGGGACUGAGACACGGCCCAUACUCCUACGGGAGGCAGCAGUAGGGAAUCUUCCACAAUGGGCGAAAGCCUGAUGGAGCAACGCCGCGUGUGUGAUGAAGGGUUUCGGCUCGUAAAACACUGUUGUAAGAGAAGAAUGACAUUGAGAGUAACUGUUCAAUGUGUGACGGUAUCUUACCAGAAAGGAACGGCUAAAUACGUGCCAGCAGCCGCGGUAAUACGUAUGUUCCAAGCGUUAUCCGGAUUUAUUGGGCGUAAAGCGAGCGCAGACGGUUAUUUAAGUCUGAAGUGAAAGCCCUCAGCUCAACUGAGGAAUUGCUUUGGAAACUGGAUGACUUGAGUGCAGUAGAGGAAAGUGGAACUCCAUGUGUAGCGGUGAAAUGCGUAGAUAUAUGGAAGAACACCAGUGGCGAAGGCGGCUUUCUGGACUGUAACUGACGUUGAGGCUCGAAAGUGUGGGUAGCAAACAGGAUUAGAUACCCUGGUAGUCCACACCGUAAACGAUGAGUGCUAGGUGUUUGAGGGUUUCCGCCCUUAAGUGCCGCAGCUAACGCAUUAAGCACUCCGCCUGGGGAGUACGACCGCAAGGUUGAAACUCAAAGGAAUUGACGGGGACCCGCACAAGCGGUGGAGCAUGUGGUUUAAUUCGAAGCAACGCGAAGAACCUUACCAGGUCUUGACAUCCCUUGACAACUCCAGAGAUGGAGUGUUCCCUUCGGGGACAAGGUGACAGGUGGUGCAUGGUUGUCGUCAGCUCGUGUCGUGAGAUGUUGGGUUAAGUCCCGCAACGAGCGCAACCCUUAUUACUAGUUGCCAGCAUUCAGUUGGGCACUCUAGUGAGACUGCCGGUGACAAACCGGAGGAAGGUGGGGAUGACGUCAAAUCAUCAUGCCCCUUAUGACCUGGGCUACACACGUGCUACAAUGGCGUAUACAACGAGUUGCCAACCCGCGAGGGUGAGCUAAUCUCUUAAAGUACGUCUCAGUUCGGAUUGUAGGCUGCAACUCGCCUACAUGAAGUCGGAAUCGCUAGUAAUCGCGGAUCAGCACGCCGCGGUGAAUACGUUCCCGGGUCUUGUACACACCGCCCGUCACACCAUGAGAGUUUGUAACACCCAAAGCCGGUGGGGUAACCUUCGGGAGCCAGCCGUCUAAAGUGGG
rnacentral:rRNA from 1 species